rnacentral:rRNA from 1 species
GGGUGCGAUCAUACCAGCACUAAUGCACGGGAUUCCAUCAGAACUCCGCAAUUAAGCAUGCUUGGGCGAGAAUAGUUCUAAGAUGGGUUGUCCUAUGAUUUUCAUAGACACAGGCU